rnacentral:lncRNA from 1 species
GGAGCACGAGAAUGAUCAGGACUGCGAGCACGUGGAGUAAACGCUGCCUUUACUACAGUUUAUCACAUUAAUAUUUUUUAUAAAAACAACGAAACAAAGCAGCUUUUUAGUUUGUUAGAAUGGGCUUUGCACUGUACUGCUGUACACGCGGUUUAGCUAUGGGUGCUUUUACGUGCUUGUAUGUUUAUAAUCCACCUUAAAGCACUAACUUACUUAAUGCUCGAUCUAAUUUAUCUGCUUUAUUGUACAUCACUGAAACUGAGUGUUCGGUAAAAGAUGAUGAUCUGUGUACUGGAGGAGCUUCUCAGAAUGUUCUGAAUGCCACCAUAUUUUAUACCAGGUUUGGGAGAACCAAAGAUUUCAGGGAACUCUGAAUGUUCUCUGAAUGUUCUGAAUGGCGCCAUAUUUUGUGCCAGGUUUGAGGGAACUAAAGACUUCGAAGUCUGGAUGUUCUCAGAAUGUUCUGAAUGUCACCAUUAGUUGUGCCAGGUGUGCUGAAACCAAAGUCUUGGGUGAAGUCUGGAUGUAAAAGGUUCUCAAUGUUCUGAAUGUCACCAUUUGUUGUGCCAGUUGGGAUGGAACUAAAGACAUUUGACGAUCUGGAUGAGAUCAGUGCCCUGAUGUUAUGCUGUUGGAUCUGCAAGAACAACUCUGUUAACUAAAAAUGUGAAAAGCUGUCAUUGUAUUUAUUCCUUAAUUGUAUUAAGUAUUAACCCAGUAAAAUAAUAUUUCUUUCAUGUUAAUUUGUUUGCAAAAAUGAAUAAAACUUU